rnacentral:rRNA from 1 species
GACGAACCGUGCGAACGUUGUUCGGAAUCACUGGGCUUAAAGGGCGCGUAGGCGGGCUGCCAAGUCUGGGGUGAAAUCCCACGGCUCAACCGUGGAACUGCCUCGGAUACUGGCGGCCUCGAGGGAGGUAGGGGCGUGCGGAACUGUAGGUGGAGCGGUGAAAUGCGUUGAUAUCUACAGGAACUCCGGUGGCGAAAGCGGCGUGCUGGACCUCUUCUGACGCUGAGGCGCGAAAGCUAGGGGAGCAAACGGG